CUCAUUUUGUUUUAUAUUUUAUUCAUAUAAAUUAUGUUUAAUAUACAAAUAUUUGAUGUGACACGAAAGCCCUGUUUCUCCUGAACAAAAUUAUAUAUGAUAAGUGUGGAUGCACAUAAUAUGAAAGAGGUGAAUUACGCCUGACAGACAUAUAGCGCAAAUUCAAGGUUUUGUUUACGUUUUGUAUUAAUCACAACUUGUACAACUGCCUCAGUCCUUAAGGGGUUAAUACUGCAGUCCAAUGGCAAAUAUUCCAUUGGGCCCUCCAGGCCUGAAGAGCAAUGGCAGCACAGGCCAACAGUGUUUGCACAAACACAUAUGGUGAUUGAGCGAGGGAGGGCCCUGCAUGAUUCCUGCCUGCUGCCUUACUCCUGUAGAACUAUGGAAAAAUACAUCCUAGCACCCCACCUGCUAUUUGAAUUCUUAAAAGAAUAGCUAGAGGCUUCAGCCUUCAACCCUCUUCCCAGUCUCCCCAUGCUAGUGGCAUAGUUGCUCACACCCUUCUUGUUAACCUUCACACGACAUGCAGACAAUAAAAAAAAUCUUGGUGUCUUGGAGAUGUAUUUGACUUUUUAAACAGACAGAUCACCUGUUUCGAGGAUGGAAGACCUGGGCGCAAAACUUACAAUUGUGUGGUUGUUGUGUGCUCUGGGUGCAAGGUUAAAACAACAAUGUGUGGGUUUAAUAAAGCAGGUGUGAGGUUUAUAAAUAUUGGUUUAUAUGUAAUUUAAAAUUCAAUUCUAAUAAUGUUUUCUUGCUUUUGUUUUAUGCUAGAAGACUAUCCUCUGAGAACAAAUGUGGUUUUACUUUUUAACUCUACAUUGUGAGAAAAUUGCAGUAUAACAU